rnacentral:rRNA from 1 species
AUUGAACGCUGGCGGCAUGCUUUACACAUGCAAGUCGAACGGCAGCAACAGGGAGCUUGCUCCCGGGUGGCGAGUGGCGCACGGGGUGAGUAAUACAUCGGAACGUGUCCCUGUUGUGGGGGAUAACUGCUCGAAAGGGUGGCUAAUACCGCAUGAGACCUGAGGGUGAAAGCGGGGGAUCGCAAGACCUCGCGCAAUUGGAGCGGCCGAUGCCCGAUUAGCUAGUUGGUGAGGUAAAGGCUCACCAAGGCGACGAUCGGUAGCUGGUCUGAGAGGACGACCAGCCACACUGGGACUGAGACACGGCCCAGACUCCUACGGGAGGCAGCAGUGGGGAAUUUUGGGACAAUGGGGGGCAACCCUGAUCCAGCCAUGCCGCGUGCAGGAUGAAGGCCUCGG